rnacentral:sRNA from 1 species
UCGUGCAGCUGCGACGGGGAGAGCAGGUGCACGUGCGAGUCGAUCGCCCCGGCCGUCACGAUCCUGCCUUCGCCGGCGAUCACGUCCGUCGAAGGACCGAUCGACAUGCCCUCGGUGAUGCCGUCGCUGACAUCGGGAUUCCCCGCGUGGCCGAUGCCGACGAUGCGUCCGUCGCGGAUGCCGAUGUCGGCUCGCACGAUCCCCCACCAGUCCAGGAUGAUCGCAUUGGUGAUGACCGUGUCCAGAGCGCCCGCGGCGCGGGUCGUCGUGCCCUGCGCCAUGGACUCCCGG